CCUACGGGUGGCAGCAGUGAGGAAUAUUGGUCAAUGGGCGGGAGCCUGAACCAGCCAAGCCGCGUGAGGGAAGAAGGUACAGCGUAUCGUAAACCUCUUUUGUCAGGGAACAAAGGCGGGGACUAGUCCCCGUAUGAGGGUACCUGAAGAAAAAGCAUCGGCUAACUCCGUGCCAGCAGCCGCGGUAGUACGGAGGAUGCGAGCGUUAUCCGGAUUUAUGGGGUUUAAAGGGUGCGAAGGUGGCCUGUUAAGUCAGAGGUAAAAGCCCGGGGCUAAACCCCGGCGAGCGGUUGAAACUGGCGGGCUGGAGUUGGAGAGAGGUACGCGGAAUGCGCGGUGUAGCGGUGAAAUGCUUAGAUAUCGCGCAGAACCCCGAUUGCGAAGGCAGCGUACCGGCUCCACACUGACGCUGAGGCACGAAAGCGUGGGUAUCGAACAGGAUUAGAUACCCGGGUAGUC
rnacentral:rRNA from 1 species